GACGAAAGUUACGCUAAUACCCGCAUAUUCUGUGAGCAGGAAAGCAGGGGAUCGCAAGACCUUGCGCUGAUUGAGCGGCCGAUGUCAGAUUAGCUAGUUGGUGAGGUAAAGGCUCACCAAGGCGACGAUCUGUAGCGGGUCUGAGAGGAUGAUCCGCCACACUGGAACUGAGACACGGUCCAGACUCCUACGGGAGGCAGCAGUGGGGAAUUUUGGACAAUGGGCGCAAGCCUGAUCCAGCCAUGCCGCGUGAGUGAAGAAGGCCUUCGGGUUGUAAAGCUCUUUCGGCCGGGAAGAAAUCGCACAGGUUAAUACCCUGUGUGGAUGACGGUACCGGAAUAAGAAGCACCGGCUAACUACGUG
rnacentral:rRNA from 1 species